rnacentral:rRNA from 1 species
UACAGAGGUCCCAAGCGUUACUGAGAAUCACUGGGUUUAAAGGGUGCGUAGGUGGUCCGUUAAGUCAGUUGUGAAAUCCCCGGGCUCAACCCGGGAACUGCUUCUGAUACUGGCGGACUUGAGGCCAGUAGGGGUCACUAGAACUGACGGUGGAGCGGUGAAAUGCGUAGAUAUCGUCAGGAAUGCCGGUGGUGAAGACGGGUGACUGGGCUGGUUCUGACACUGAGGCACGAAAGCGUGGGGAGCGAACAGG